rnacentral:rRNA from 1 species
UACGUAGGGCGCAAGCGUUGUCCGGAAUUAUUGGGCGUAAAGAGCUCGUAGGCGGCCUGUUGCGUCCGCUGUGAAAUCCCGGGGCUCAACCCCGGGCCUGCAGUGGAUACGGGCUGGCUAGAGGCAGGCAGGGGAGAACGGGAAUUCCUGGUGUAGCGGUGAAAUGACGCAGAUAUCAGGAGGAACACCGGUGGCGAAGGCGGUUCUCUGGGCCUGUACUGACGUGAGGAGCGAAAGCGUGGGGAGCAAACAGG